rnacentral:lncRNA from 1 species
AAAAUCCCCAUUCUCUGACUUUUUUCUCCCCGAAGCAUGAAGCUAGCUCUCCGACCUUUAAAACCCUAAUUCUCCCCUCUCUUUCAAACCCUAGCCUCUGAAUUUCUUCAAUCUUUCAUCUUGGAUCCAAAAUUGGGUCCGCCAUCAAAGCUUUCUCCUCCAUUUUUUGCCUUUUAAAAGGUUCUUUUUCUAGAAACAACAUUCCCUAAAAUGGCACAAAGAACAAGACAGCCUGAAACGAAAUUGAAACCCCCGUAAUCGGGACCACAUUGAGUCGCCCGACCAAUUCAAGUCUCAUAUUGGCUAAGAGGCCCAUAGAAAGACCUGGCUGUUUCCGUAAUUGGGUCAAAUUGGUCCUUCGCGUCAGAUUGGCUAAGAGGCCGUAGUAAGACCUGGAUAUUCUUGUAAUUGGGUCAAAUUGGUCCUUCGUGUCAGGCUUGCUCAAUCAUCGAUUUAGUCCUUUCGAUUCUGUUGACUCCCACUAUUGGACUUGAAUGGAGCAUUUCGUUACUGGUAAGUAUGCCCUGACCGAUUGUGACGGGGUGUUUGAACUGGUCCCUGAAUAUUGGCAUUGGAAUCGAUCGUUGCUUCCAAUAUUCGAGGUAAUUGAACA